GUUAGGCCUAGCCAGCAGCGCCAGGUGGAGGUCUGGCUGUUGGUCUCCUCCAUAGGCUGCUCCUCAGGAAGGCCUGCUUGUCCUUCCUGUCCUCGAUUGUGGUGGGGAAGGAGGUUAGGCCAAACCAGGAGUGCCGUCUGGAGGUCUGGCUUUUGGUCUGCUACAUGGCCUGCUCCUCAGGAAGGACCUUUUGUUCUUUGUGUCCUCGAUCCUGGCAUGGCUGGAGGUUAGGCCAAACCAUCAGAGGCUGGUGGAGGUCUGGCUCUUGGUCUCCUCCACAGGCUGCUCCUCAGGAAGGACCUGGUUGUGCUUUGUGUCCUUGAACCUGACAGGGCAGGACGUUAGGCCAAACCAGCAGCGUCAGGUUGAGAUCUGGCUGUUGGUCUCCUCCACAGGCUGCUCCUUAGGAAGGACUGGGUUGUUCUUCCUGUCCUUGAUCCUGACAGGGCAGGAGGUCAGGCUUAACCAGCAGUGCCAGGUGGAGAUCUGGCUGUUGGUCUCCUCCAUAGGCUGCUCCUCAGGAAGGGCCUCGUUG
rnacentral:lncRNA from 1 species